CAGUAACAUGUGAAGAGAAAGACUUACCUGGAGAUCUCUUUAACCAGCUGAUGAGAGAUGAUCCUUCAACCGUUAAUGGUGCAGAAGUUUUAAUGUUGGGAGAAAUGCUGACUUUACCACAGAAUUUUGGGCUGAUCUUCAGACAAGUUCUCAGCGUUUAAAUCUUUCAGCCUCCAAUGCUGCAGUGGCUGAACUUAAACCGGAUUGUUGUAUUGAUGAUGUCAUACAUCAUGAAGUCAAAGAAAUUGGAACACACAUCUUGGUAUGUGCUGUGAGUUAUACAACUCAGGCUGGAGAAAAAAUGUAUUUCAGAAAAUUCUUCAAAUUUCAGGUUCUCAAACCAUUGGAUGUGAAAACCAAAUUUUACAAUGCAGAGAGUGACCUCAGUUCUGUGACUGAUGAAGUAUUUCUGGAAGCCCAGAUUCAGAAUAUGACAACCUCACCUAUGUUUAUGGAGAAGGUUUCACUGGAGCCAUCUAUUAUGUACAAUGUAACAGAAUUAAAUUCAGUCAGCCAAGCUGGAGAAUGUGUGUCUACGUUUGGGUCAAGAGCAUAUUUGCAACCAAUGGAUACACGCCAGUACUUAUACUGCCUAAAGCCAAAGAAUGAAUUUGCAGAAAAAGCAGGCAUCAUUAAGGGAGUA
rnacentral:lncRNA from 1 species